CGUUUAAUUUCCUUUUUUGAUGAAAGUGUGUCUGUGUUCAUCAAGACAUGAAGACUCUGGAGUGGGACAAGAGAAGGAUGAUGGGGUGUAUAUUCCAAAAGACACAUUAAGGUAAAUUAAAUGUUGAGGCUCAUGUUUGCAUCUUUGUGUUUAUAUAUCAAAAGAUUGCUCUGUGAUUUCAGUGAAAGCAGAUAAAUACAGAGGGCUGGACAGUGGUUUCAUUCAUUAGGUAAAGAGGUGGGACAAUGAUGCUGACAGGACAGGAGGAGGUGACAUUCAGACAUUCAACGCAGACAUUUUCAUCCAAAGCAACUUGAGGAAGAACAGAAGCAGUUCAUCCUAAAAGUGGGCUGCUGUAAUUUUUACAUCUAUGGAAAGAGGAGCUGAGAAGAAAAGAUAGGCUGGAAAGCAGUACUUCUUGUUGAGGACAAUCCUGAAUAGGAACACUUUCUCAUACACAUAGAUUAUUAUUAGUGUUUGAUUGUUUGUUUCAUUUUUAUGAAUUGUAUUGUUUUAAUUUUUCGUUUUAUUUGAAAUUACCUAAGUUAGAUUCAUGCUAAUACUUUAACGGGACCUUGUAUCUUUGCUGGCUGGCUGGCUGGCUGUAGAGUUGGUUUCACAUACACAUGAAGUUUCUAAUUAACUAACUUUUAAGUUCAGUUUGGUUUAAACUUGUAUUUACCCAUGGUAAUUCAUUUAAAUUUCUAUUCAUGCUUAUAUAUUAAUUUCAAUGAACUUCUGUAUUUGUGUAUAGCUGGCAAUUUGGGCAAGAUACGUUUAACACACAAAUGUAACUGUCACAAAGGUUUUUUUUAUUAUCAGUUUGUUCUAAACUUUUGUUUGUUAACUAAGGAUGAAAUUGCUUUGUAAUUUAAGUUGUUGGUGUUAGAUUCAUGCCAAUAAUGUAUUUGAACAAACUAGUAUUUUUGUUUAUUGCUGGCAGUUUAUACUAGAAGAGUUUUAACACAUACAAUGUUGUAGUGUUAUUGACUUGUGUGCUGUUGAUUAAUAAAAAGGCAAACAAUUUGAAAGUAAUUUUUCGUGUGAUUUAUUUAUUAAUAUAAUUUGGGCAAGAUUAGGCUGAGUUAUGGCUCAGUUUUGGAAGUUCUGGUUAAAUGCUGGUUUUAAUAUGGUUGACCUAUGGCUGAGAACUGGUACCGAUGUUAGAACCUGUUCUGGCCCAGGUUUGGGCCAAU